GGACUUGUAGUUACUGGCGCGCUUAUUACAUGCAAGUCGAACGAUGAAGUGGAGCUUGCUCACGGAUUAGUGGCGAACGGGUGAGUAACACGUGAAUAACCUGCCCUCAAUUUCGGAAUAACCCAGGGAAACCUGGGCUAAUACCGGAUACGUAAACCUGUGGCAUCACAUGGUUUUGGAAAGUUUUUCGAUUGAGGAUGGAUUCGCGGCCUAUCAGCUUGUUGGUGAGGUAAUGGCUCACCAAGGCGACGACGGGUAGCCGGCCUGAGAGGGUGAACGGCCACACUGGGACUGAGACACGGCCCAGACUCCUACGGGAGGCAGCAGUGGGGAAUAUUGCGCAAUGGACGAAAGUCUGACGCAGCGACGCCUCGUGAGGGACGAAGGUCUUCGGAUUGUAAACCUCUU
rnacentral:rRNA from 1 species